rnacentral:lncRNA from 1 species
CCCUCGAAGAACGAGCUGGAGAAGUCCAGGGUCUGGGCUCUGAUGCUGGACGAUGGCAAGCCAUGAGUGUCUCGCUUUUGGAGGAAAAAAUCGGUUUUUGAUUUUGCGAGGAAAGGUUUGAGGGAACAUGAGAAGGAGAGAAGGGGCGGAGUAGAUAAUUUGGAGAGAGGGUGAGAGGAAAAUGGGGAACUCGAUGAAGUUGGAGAGGUGAAAGAGGAAGCAAGCGAAGAAGUCGCCAUGGUCGAACUGUGUUUUUUCAGUGGAGCG